UUACGGCCAUAUUACAUUGAAACAACGGCUCCCUUACGAUCACCGAAGUUAAGCAACGUCGAUCCUGGUCAGUACCUAGAUGGGUAUCGACUUGGGAAUAAUAGCUGCCGUAA